AAUACUAACGUGAUGGAACAACAGGAAUGGGGCGCAAUAUGGGGCUCCGUUCGUUGAGGAGGAAUGGGAAGAACAAGAGAUUGCUAAUGGAGUGGUCCUGAUGCCCGAUGCUGAGGAUGAUGAUGAUGCUGUUGACGCUCAUGAUCAGGAAUACUUGGAAUUCAAUGAUCUUCUUCAGGAUCAAAUAGUAAGUUGGAUUUUUUAUGUUCAAUUUCUUUUAUAAACUUAAACCAGUCCUGAGAGAGUUACCUGAAA